GUGCUCACUUCAGCAGCACAUAUAUGAAAAAAUUGGAACGAUACAGAGAAGAUUAGCAUGGCCCCUGUGCAAGGAUGACAUGCAAAUUCAUGAAGCAUUCCAUGUUUCU